CUACCUUUACAGAGGGAUAGCCCAGAAGUAAAUUUGGUAUUAAUACCUCAUAGUAUUUUUUGAAUCGCAUGAUUUGAUUAUUAAAGUUCCAACGGUAAAAGAUGAGUAUGCGUCCCAUUAGCUAGAUGGUAAGGUAACGGCUUACCAUGGCUACGAUGGGUAGGGGUCCUGAGAGGGAGAUCCCCCACACUGGUACUGAGACACGGACCAGACUCCUACGGGAGGCAGCAGUGAGGAAUAUUGGACAAUGGGCGCAAGCCUGAUCCAGCAAUGCCGCGUGCAGGAUGACGGUCCUAUGGAUUGUAAACUGCUUUUAUACAGGAAGAAACACUCCGACGUGUCGGAGCUUGACGGUACUGUAAGAAUAAGGAUCGGCUAACUCCGUG
rnacentral:rRNA from 1 species